AUUUAGCCCAUGCCAGUUAGAUUUGUCAUAUGAUGAUCGAUUAGAUGAGACCUAAACCUAUAUCUCUCCAUAAAUAUUAACUCCAUAGGUCUUUCACUAUUGUAGAUGUGCGGACAUACUACCAGCAUUGAUUGUUUUCGACUGGUUACAGUGGUUCAGUUACAUCGAGAACACGCAAUCACUCUAUUAGCAAAGAGUUGCUCCAGGAUAAGGAUG
rnacentral:lncRNA from 1 species